rnacentral:rRNA from 1 species
AAAMAAGCUAGAAUAACAACAUAMGACCAGAAGACCCUGUGAAGCUUAAAUAAAACUAUUAAACCAUAUAAUAACUACUUUCGGUUGGGGCGACCUUGGAAAAAAAGAGAACUUCCAAAUAAAAUGACUAUACCUCAUUAACCUAAACAGGCUAACAAGCCAAAAAUGACCCAGCACAGCUGAUAAUUGAACCAAGUUACUCCAGGGAUAACAGCGCAAUCUUCUUCAAGAGCCCAUAUCAAAAAGAAGGUUUACGACCUCGAUGUUGGAUCAGGACAUCCUAAUGGUGCAGCCGCUAUUAAGGGUUCGUUUGUUCAACGAUUAAUA